rnacentral:miRNA from 108 species
UCUUUGGUUAUCUAGCUGUAUGA